UCCCAGGCCAGGGAUUGGAUGGCGGUGGUGAAAGUGCAAAAAAGCCCUAAUCACUAACCCAGCAGGGAGCUCCAGAUAUGGUGUCACACAAGGAGUCAGCAAAGUGCCAGGUGCUAACCCCCAAAAAGUGUUAACUGCUGCUGAAUGUAGAUGACACGUUCUUCUUUUCAUGGGGUGGUUUACAUAGGCCUCAGGAUGCUCUCCUCAUAAUGGGUAUGGGCACCUACAUUAAACACGCAGAACAGAAACCUCUGAGUCUCAGGAUGGUGAGGUGGUCCUGAGUUUGAGAGGGUGGGUGAUUUCUCCAGGCUCACCCAGGUUGGGACAGAGCCAGGAGUGGAACAGGGCAUUCAGACUGUCCAGUCAUCAGAAGAAUCUUCUCAGGAGUCCCUUUUGAGAAACUGUAAUCCACUUAAAAGAAAAAAAGAAAGCAAUUUGAAAAUUGUCUCAAAGCACCCCAUAUUUUUUUUUUCUGGACUUCCGUGGUUUCUCUUACCUAAGGAGUAAACACUUUGCCUCUGUCUGUUUUCUGCAUUCAUGUCUGGUGUUUUAAGCAUCUGUUGUUAGUUUUUUGUAUUGUUUCAAUUAAUGGAGAAGCUGAUUUUUACUCAGUGAGCCAUGAUCAUUUCAAACUGGAAAACAGACGUCACUUCCAGUGGGUCCUUCCCUUGCUCGUUUGGGGUUAGAGAGGAGGUAGGGAGGUUGCCCCUCGGCUGGGCUGCUGAGGUGAUUAGGAGGUGAAGGCAGGAACUGUCAGGCAGCCCAGGUGUUCUGACGCUGUUGUCUCUCUGUCCCCUCAGCUGAAUCUUCACAGUCCUCUCUAAUGUCCCAAGUGCUUCAGAAAAUGAAUCUAUUUGAGGUGAGCUCUUUAUUUAUCUCCCACUUCGUACUGUGAUGGAUUUCACGCUCGAUUUCCAGUUGCUCUCGCUUGUGUUACACAUCCUUUAUGAAUGAAAGUUAUUACCCCUUUACAAUGAGUUUGCUAAGAUUUUACUUGAAUCAUGAAUGUGCUCGGAAAUAAUCAUUUUGAAUACUUUAUUGUAUCUAUUGGAGUAAAGGUAUAGCUUAUUUUUGUUUUUCAGUUUGUAACUGCCAUCUUUUUGCUCAUAUCAUAUUUGAAUUGUUCUUCAAAUUGUAUGGACUAAGUGGAUUAGCCUAUAACUCUCUUUUCUUGUGUUCCUGCCCAACUGUGAUAUCUUAUUGAGGCAUUUUCCUGCUCUUUUCUCUUCUCCCCUCCCCUCUCUCCCUUGCUUUUCCCUCCACUCUCCUCUCUCAUUCACAUGACAAAAUCACCUAUUACAGAUUUCAUGAAACUUAGCUCUAAAAUGGGACUUUGUGAGUACAUGUUUUUAUGUGUAGAUGUGGAUUAUUGGGCCACUUUAUUUAAACAACCCUGGGUCUAGUCUUCCUUUUAUUAUUACUAUAUUUUCAGAGAAAAAUAUUCAUUUUUAUCUGUUAUGUGUUUUUGGAACCUUAUAGAUAGUAUUUUCUUUUAUCUGUUGUGUUGAUAAAUUCUCUCUUCAGAUAGUUAAGUAAUGUACUUAAUAAAGGGAAUGGUGACCAGAAGCCAGCCAAAUGUGUUGCUGGUUGGCCCUGUCAGAAAUCUAGAUAUUCAUGGUCUGAGGAUGGGCUUGGAAAUUUGUACUCAGUCAUGUAUUCUGUAUACUGAAUUGAGGGAGCAUAGACACAGCCCUUUUGCUGGUUCCCACUUCAGUACAAAAGUGUCCGUUUCUUUUUUAGAUAAGUGAUAUGUUCCUCUGACUCUCAGAUCUAAACAUAAGAGUUCCCACUGUGGUACAAUGGGAUCAGCUUCUCUGCAGCAUGAGGACACAGGUUGGUUUUCCCAGAUGGGCACAGUGGCUUCAAGGAUCUGACCUGAGGCUUGGAUCUGAUCCCUGGCCUGGGAACUCCACAUGUCAUGGGGUGGCAAAAAAAUAAAAAAUAAAAAAAAGGAAAGGAAAAGAAGAGAAAUAAAAUCUAAACAGAAAGACUCAUUGAGAUCUGUUAGUAGUUUGAAUUGUUGUUUGUGGUGCAAAGUAUGAAUCAAGAGUAUAAUGAUUAUUUUCUAAUGGUGUUUUUUAGUCUGGCAUGAUUUUUCUCAGAACAUACUUUCUGCAUUGAAUUACCUGGAUAUGUAAAUUAAAGAAAUGUGUGUUUGGAGAUAUUUUUUGGUCCAUCAUUUUUGGUAUUUCAUUUUUGUGAGUAGCACGCACUGUUUUGGUGAGUGGUAGUGUGGUUUGUCUUGAAAACAAGAACUAUCAGUCCUCCACCUUUGUUCUUUUCAAAAUUGUUUUCAGAUUGCAGGUUGUUUGCUUUUCUACAUAAAUAUUAGAAUCCACUUGUGAUUCUCAAAAAGCCUGGAUAGCUUUCAAUUGUGAUUGCAUUGAAUCCAGAGAUCUCUAUGUGGAGUACUGACAUCUCCACCCUAUCGAGUCUCCUAAUCUAUGAAUUCAGUGUUUCUCUCUGUUUACCAGGUUAUUUAGAGAACUUGGACCCUAGGAAGGACACGUACAACUCUGAGAGUGGACUCUAGGGGGCAGUGAUGGCAACAGAUGCUGUUGCAGGCUCUCAGUACUCCUUUCAAGAAAUGAUGAUGUUAGCAGUUGUAUUUGGAAAGUAUCAAAUUUUGGAUGGAUUGUGAAGGCAGAGCCAAAAGUAUGAAGAGAUCUGCUUCCAUAGAACAUUGCAAAUGAAGAGUGUACUGUCAGACACUUUAAAUUUUGUGGGUUUUCGGGUGCAUCUGUAGCAUAUAAAAACAGCCAGUUAUUGAACCCAUACCACAGCAGUGACCCAAGUCACUGCAGUGGCAAUCUUGGAUCCUUAACCGGCUGUACUAGCAGAGAACUCUAGACAUUUUUGAUUUUUCAUAAUAUGAAAAAACCUUUCAGUUUUUGUCCUACUUUCUUAACAUAAAGUUGAUAGGAAUUAAUUGCAAAGGUAUUUUCCAUGUCACCUGAGUUUGAAUUCUUUGGAUUAAUAAGAGGAAUGUGCUUUCACAGGCAUCAGUGUCCUUCAAGGAUGUGACUGUGGAGUUUACCCAGGAGGAGGGGCAGCAGAUGAGCCCUGCUCAGAGGAUCCUGUACAGAGAUGUGAUGCUGGAGAACUACAGCCACCUUGUGCCAUUGCGUGAGCCUCCUUUAUCAUGCAACCCUGCCUAGAGUGUGAUCGGUUUUCUGUUUCUGCUUCUUUUAAAACCACCUAUUUUGAGGGAAAAUUAAUGGAAAGUAAAAUUCAGCAAAUUUUUGUGUAUCAUUCAAUGAAUUUUUAAAAAUGUGUCCGGCUCUAUCACCAAAAUCAUGAUACAAAUGAUUUCUCUCAGAGGAAAAUCUUCCUUAUGCCUUCUUAAUUAGUCCUCUCUUCCCAGCCAUUUUCUUUUUCUAUUCUUUUUUCUUUUUUUUUUUAAUUCCUGUUUUUGAUAAUCACCAAUCUUCUCCCCAGGUCAAUACUUUCUCUUUCUUUGAAAUUUCGUAUAAAUAGAAUCAGACUUCAUGUGCUCUUUUUUCCUAUGGCUUCUUUCCUUUAGUGUAAUUCUUUUAGGAUUCAUGGAUAUUAUUUUGUGUAUUAUUAUUUAUUCCUUUUAUCAGUGAGUAAUGUUCAUUCUAUGUCAUGUCCUUCCAAUUGCUGAUAAGACAUUAUAUUCCUUUUCCAUUUGGUGCUUUCAUAAGUAAAGGUGUCAUGAGUAUUUCAGUCCAAGUCUUCGUAUAUCUAUAUUUUCAUUCUUUUGUAUAAAGACCUUAGAGGUGGUUUCCCAGGACUAUUGGCAAGUAUUCAUAGGAAUAUCUCAUUUUAUUGUGCUUUAUUUUUUUUCUGCUUCCCAGCUGUUUAUUUAUUUAUUUAUUUUAAAUGGAAGGGUCAUUGGAAGCCCCUUGUGUCAACCACGUCUAUUGCUGUCAGUUUUCCAACAGCAUUUGCUUGCUUUAUGGCUCUGUGUCAUAUCUUGGUAAUUCUCACUACAUUUCAUACUCUUUCAUUAUUGUACUUGUUGUGGUAAUCUGUGAUCUUUAAUGUUGCAUUGUAAUUGUUUGGGGGCACCAUGCAUUGUGCCCAUAGAGGAUGGCAAACUUAAUUGAUAAAUGUUCCAAGUUGUGAAAGUGAAGAAAGAGUUCUUGGAGGCGAGUCAAAGGGCUAACUCCAGUGAACACAUGAGUGAUUAGAAAGUGAAGCAACUAAUGUCCUGGAUAGGUCAAACCAGCCACAACUGUCCCUUAGGCUAAAGCCUAAUCCAGGGCAAGGCCAUAACUCUUCAAUUCUGUGAAGGCUGAGAGAGAUGAGGGACCUAGAGUAGAAGUGCUUGAGUCUACUAUAGGUUGGUUCAUGAUGGUGAGAGGAAGAUUUUAUCUCUAAGAUGAAUGUGCAAGGGGGAGCAGCAAGUGCUGAUAGAAAAGCUGCAGCAGGUUAUUCAGAAGAUCUAGCUGAGAAGAUUCAUGAAGGUGGCUGUAACUACAUGGCAAAUUUCAGUAUAGAUUAAAUACUCUUCUGUUAGAGGAAGAUGCCAUCUAGGACUUUCAUAGGAAGAGAGAAGUCAGUUCCUGGCUUUAAAGCUUCAAAGGACAGACUGACUGUCUUGUGAGGGGCUAAUGC
rnacentral:lncRNA from 1 species